rnacentral:rRNA from 1 species
GUGGGGAAUAUUGCGCAAUGGGCGAAAGCCUGACGCAGCGACGCCGCGUGAGGGAUGAAGGUUUUCGGAUCGUAAACCUCUGUCAGAAGGGAAGAAACUACGUUGUGCUAAUCAGCAGCGUACUGACGGUACCUUCAAAGGAAGCACCGGCUAACUUCGUGCCAGCAGCCGCGGUAAUACGAAGGGAGCUAGCGUUGUUCGGAAUUACUGGGCGUAAAGGGCGCGUAGGCGGUUUGGUUAGUCAGAUGUGAAAGCCCAGGGCUUAACCCUGGAACUGCGUUCGAUACUGGGAGACUUGAGUCCUGGAGAGGGUGGCGGAAUUCCGGGUGUAGGAGUGAAAUCCGUAGAUAUCCGGAGGAACACCGGUGGCGAAGGCGGCCACCUGGACAGAUACUGACGCUGAGGCGCGAAAGCGUGGGGAGCAAACAGGAUUAGAAACCCCAGUAGUCC